CCUACGGGAGGCAGCAGUGAGGAAUAUUGGUCAAUGGGCGAGAGCCUGAACCAGCCAAGUCGCGUGAAGGAUGACGGUUCUAUGGUUUGUAAACUUCUUUUAUAUGGGAAUAAAGUGCGGAACGUGUUCCUUUUUGUAUGUACCAUAUGAAUAAGCAUCGGCUAACUCCGUGCCAGCAGCCGCGGUAAUACGGAGGAUGCGAGCGUUAUCCGGAUUUAUUGGGUUUAAAGGGUGCGUAGGUGGUGAAUUAAGUCAGCGGUGAAAGUUUGUGGCUCAACCAUAUAAUUGCCGUUGAAACUGGUUGUCUUGAGUAUAGGUGAGGUAGGCGGAAUGCGUGGUGUAGCGGUGAAAUGCAUAGAUAUCACGCAGAACUCCGAUUGCGAAGGCAGCUUACUAAACUAUAACUGACGCUGAUGCACGAAAGUGUGGGGAUCAAACAGGAUUAGAUACCCCUGUAGUC
rnacentral:rRNA from 1 species